rnacentral:rRNA from 1 species
GUGCCUACGGGACGCAGCAGUGAGGAAUAUUGGUCAAUGGCCGAGAGGCUGAACCAGCCAAGUCGCGUGAGGGAAGACGGCCCUACGGGUUGUAAACCUCUUUUGUCGGGGAGCAAAGCGAACCACGUGUGGUUCAUUGAGAGUACCCGAAGAAAAAGCAUCGGCUAACUCCGUGCCAGCAGCCGCGGUAAUACGUAGGUGGCAAGCGUUAUCCGGAUUUAUUGGGCGUAAAGGGAGCGCAGGCGGUCUUUUAAGUCUGAUGUGAAAGCCUUCGGCUUAACCGGAGUAGUGCAUUGGAAACUGGG